AUACAGGUCAUGAUGGAGAGGAGUAAAUACGGGAGAACCGCCCAGCGAGUGGGGAAGGUGUGAGCCCACCGGGGAAACCGUAUUGAACAUGGCUCCGGAGCUGUCGGCUGAAUUUCAGUAGGCCGUACCGGGUUAAGCGCCGUUAUCAAGCUUGGGGUAUCGGGAAACAAGUUCCCCGUACCUUAAUGAGGCCUUUUCUGACAAGAGAAGGUAAAAUAGGGUGGUAACGCGGGAUAACAUUUUCGCCCCUGGG
rnacentral:ncRNA from 1 species